rnacentral:tRNA from 1 species
AGGGUUGUAGUUAAUUAUAACAUUUGUUUUGCAUACAAGAAGUAUUGGUUACCCAAUCUACCUUA